AUAUCUACACCCUAAAACCUAUAGGGAAAAACCAAUAUGGCCAUCAACAAAAUUCAUGUUAAUGUUAUGAUUCUCCUAUUGUGUGGAGCAUUUCUGCUGGGAGUUUUCAAUCCAAAAGUUGCGACUGCGCAGACAGAUGGGUGCCCAGAAUCUUGCUUUUGUAUGGAGUAUAUGACCUGUGGAUCUUCAGAUGAAAAGCUAUAUAAUGGCUGCAACUGCUGCUUUAACCCAGGCUGCACCCUUCAUCUCUGCAGUAAUACCACCAUUUCCUGUCCUGCAAAUUGAAGGGGUGCAUAGUCGAUAUUGUUCCAUGUAUUAAAUUUCAAAAUCUGUUUGCAAAAUAAUGAGCUUUAUUUUGCAGCAGACUUAAUAAUCAUCAUAAAUAAAAAUCAAUCACCAUGAGCCUCGCAGCUCAAUGGCAUUGCCUUCUUCUCCCCCAUGAUUAGAACCUAGCUAGGUUCUAAUUCUUCCACUUAUUUUGUUAGCCAAAAGAAAAAAUAAAAAUAAAAAGACAGUUUGUGAAUUCAUUAUA